ACACAAUCUUAAAAUCUUUCCAUCUUAGAAAAUUCAUUCCAAGUAUUUCUUUUGUGUGUGUGUGUGUGUUUUUUUUGCCUAUAAAAGAUAAUGGAAUAUGUUUUAUAGACUGGAUUUUAUCUCAUCCCCCUUCCCUCUCCGGACUGCACUCUGUUUAAUAGUUGUCAGUUUUUCUUCAGUGUUGAAUUUAAUUAUAUAGGAACAAAAUAUUCCUCAGUAAAAUAGCUUGCUAAAUAUUCUGCAACGUUUGUGAUUUCCCGUUUGAGAAAUAGCUUAAUUACAGAAAUCUACCU
rfam:Microcebus murinus cont1.41565, whole genome shotgun sequence.